ACGCGAGGAACCUUACCAGGUCUUGACAUCCCGCUGACCGGUCUGGAGACAGAUCUUCCCCUUCGGGGGCAGCGGUGACAGGUGGUGCAUGGUUGUCGUCAGCUCGUGUCGUGAGAUGUUGGGUUAAGUCCCGCAACGAGCGCAACCCUUGAUCUUAGUUGCCAUCAUUUAGUUGGGCACUCUAAGGAGACUGCCGGUGACAAACCGGAGGAAGGUGGGGAUGACGUCAAAUCAUCAUGCCCCUUAUGACCUGGGCUACACACGUGCUACAAUGGACGGUACAAACGGUUGCCAACCCGCGAGGGGGAGCUAAUCCGAUAAAACCGUUCUCAGUUCGGAUUGUAGGCUGCAACUCGCCUACAUGAAGCCGGAAUCGCUAGUAAUCGCGGAUCAGCAUGCCGCGGUGAAUACGUUCCCGGGCCUUGCACACACCGCCCGU
rnacentral:rRNA from 1 species